CAAUUUUAUAGUUUAAGUAUAAAAUGCAAAUUUUGGGGAUUUGAGAUCUUAGUGUUUAAGUAAGUUGA
rnacentral:tRNA from 1 species